GUUACAAAAGGACUGUGGCUUCUGUCUUGCUUGCCCUCUCUUUCUCUUUCUCUCAAUCUCUCUCUCUGAGGAAACUCAGCUGCUAUGUUGUGAGUUGUCCUGUGGAGAGACCCAUGUGACAAGGAACUGAUGUCUCUGGGCAACAGCAGUGAGGAACUGGGUUCUGUCAACAUCCACAUAAGUGAACUGAGAAGCAGAUUCCCUUCCCCCGCAGUCAGGCCAUAAGGUGACUGUGGCCGUGCUGACACCUUAAUUACAGCUCUGUGAGAGAGCCUGAGCCAGAGCUACCCAACUGAGCUGCACCUGGAUUCCUGACCUACAGAAAUGCUUUGAAAAGACCAAAAGGAGCAGCUGAUGAGGGAGAAGGGGUGCUGAGAAGAGGAAAAGCAGCUGACCACAACUCCUUCUCUUCUCCACUGUAGACUUUCAAGCCUGGGGCAAAACUCCACUGGGAGAGGGAAGAAGUUUUAAACGGAGCGAGAUUACAGUUUGGAUUAGUACACUCUGGAUUGGACUUUCAUUACUAAAAAGAGACUAUUCAUUUAUUACCUGAGAGCAAGCACAAAACUGUAAAAUCUCCCUGAGAUCUCAAGGGAAUGGGGAUGGAGCACCACGAGAUGACCAAGUUAACAGUGCAAGUUUGAAGGCAGUGGGAGAAAAGAGAGAGUUGCUUUCAGCAUGUGCCCUACUGAGUUCAACUCCUUUAAUGAAGUGGCUACAAUGAGUCUUCCCUGAACACAUUUUUGCCAGGCUUAGGUUCUGCUGGCCAUGUUUAAAUGGAUGCACAAGAUGUAUGCAUAUUUAGGAGAAUGAUGUUUUCAGGGUGAUUGGAGCCAGGCUAACCUGAGUUCAUAUCUUAGCUCUGCUACUUAAAAAAUGUGACACAUUGUUAAUCUCUUGGCCUCUGAGCUUCCUCAUCUAUAAAAUGAAGACAAAUGAUGUCUACCUCACAAUGUUGUACUAAAGAGGAAGUAAGAUAAUAUGUGUACAGUAACACAGUGUCUGGUACGUAGUGGGCACUCAAUAAAUGGUAGCAAUGAUUAUGAUCAUCAUGAUCUUAGUGUCUCGACCUGACAAAAAUGGUAGUUCAGAAAAAUUUACCAAGCAUUAGCAUGCAAGAUAGAUUGAAGAUGAAUCAAGACUAGGAGCAGGGAGAAAAAUUAGAAACAUUGAGUAAUAAAAUGAGGCUAAAGUGGUAGCCACAGGGAUGAAAUAGAGGUGAAGGGACAAAUUAUAAGGAAUAUUUGAGAGGAAAAUGAACAGAAGAGAUAACUUCUUAGAUAGAAACUGGUAAAUAAAGGAGGAUGAAGAGUCAAAGGCAGCUUAAAUUUUUAAAGCUUGUUUGGAUGGGAGAAUAGUAGAAAAGGGAGAAAUACAGACAUUGGCAGAAUGAGCAUGUUGGGUGGGUAGGAAUGGUGGGGAGAAAAUAGUUUUGUUUUGCUACAAUUCAAAUGUAGGUGAUGGCGGGACUUCCAAGUGCAAAUAUCCUAUAGAUAUUUGGAAAGUCAUUUAUUUAAUCAUUCAACAAAUAUUUCUUGAGAGCCUACUUGGUGUCAGACACCAUGCUAGACUCUAGUGAGAACAAUCUAGUAAAGAGUUGGAGUUUAAAUGGGACAUCUGGGCCAGACAGAAAGAUCUGGGGCCUUCAGCAAGGAAUGGGUUCCUGAAACCAUACAUAUUAGUCAGUUUUCUAAUGGAGAGUGUGAAGAAGAGACAAUUUCUGAGAAUAUUCAGUCAGAGGGACACAAGAAGUGGACAAAUGGGGGAGAACUAAACCAGAAUCACAUAUUGUAAUUAUUUUUAUAUUAAAUUCUGACCAUUUAAUUAUGACAAAAAAGCAGUUUCGUAGUAGCUGUUCAUAUUUUUUAAACUUUUUAUUUUGGAAUAAUUAUAGAUUCACAGGAAGUGGCAAAAAUAUUAGAGCGGUCCCACUACCCUUCAGCCAGUUUCUCCCAGUGGCUACAUCUUACAUAACUAUAGGACAAUAGGACAACCAGGAAACUGACAUUGGCAUAAUCCACGGACUUUAUUCAGAUUUCACUAGUUUUAUGUGCACUCAUUUGUGUGUAUAAUUCUGUGCCAUGUUAUCACAUGUAUGGAUUCAUGUAAUCUUUCCUCUUUAAUUAUUAAAACUUUUUCUUUUUUCUCACUCCA